GAUGAACGCUGGCGGCGUGCCUAAUACAUGCAAGUCGAGCGAACGGACGAGAAGCUUGCUUCUCUGAUGUUAGCGGCGGACGGGUGAGUAACACGUGGAUAACCUACCUAUAAGACUGGGAUAACUUCGGGAAACCGGAGCUAAUACCGGAUAAUAUUUUGAACCGCAUGGUUCAAAAGUGAAAGACGGUCUUGCUGUCACUUAUAGAUGGAUCCGCGCUGCAUUAGCUAGUUGGUAAGGUAACGGCUUACCAAGGCAACGAUGCAUAGCCGACCUGAGGGGGUGAUCGGCCACACUGGAACUGAGACACGGUCCAGACUCCUACGGGAGGCAGCAGUAGGGAAUCGUCCGCAAUGGGCGAAAGCCUGACGGAGCAACGCCGCGUGAGUGAUGAAGGUCUUCGGAUCGUAAAACUCUGUUAUUAGGGAAGAACAUAUGUGUAAGUAACUGUGCACAUCUUGACGGUACCUAAUCAGAAAGCCACGGCUAACUACGUG
rnacentral:rRNA from 1 species